ensembl:lncRNA uncharacterized LOC115193817
GGGUGGGCUUUUAUUUUGAAAUACAGGAUACCGGAUGUUGUACACUUUACAGCUUUAAGUUCUUCCGCUUUCAUUCACCCGCCAGCUACUUCAAAGCAAGCGAACUAACGAGUAAAUGUUUGUUUUGACAUUCGGGGUUUCCCUGAUAAGUAUUGAUAUCUAGCAUUCAUUUAAUUGCCGUCAUCAUUUGACGGCAACAAUGUUUCGUGGUUUUCACAAUCCCGGAGAACUUCACCGGGGCCCUGCUCCCUUAGGCCACCCAUCCCAUUUACAGCCACCCGGUCCCAGCUACGGAGGGCCCUUUGGCCCGCCACCCCACGUUCCACUGCCUGGACACUUUCCUCCUGGAUCUUGUCAUCCUUUCUUACCUCCCGGAUCGGGAAGUGAAUACCUCCACAGGCCAAUGAGGGAACAUUAUAUCAAUACUCCACACUGCAGCAGUUACUCCAUUGACCGCAGCACAGUGAUCAGUCUUGGUAGUCAACAGAUUCUCCCACCAGACACACAGCAUCUUCAGAUGCCACAGUGGCCCGCCAAUCCUUUGGAAUCAUGCCAAAGAGACAAGAGUGAGAACUUGACCGCUGGUGAAGAAUUCCUCAGAUGCCUUGCGGCUAAUAAGCCAGUCCCUGACUUUCUCAAAGGAGUCAACCUGUUGGACGCAGGGAAGGCAGUCAAGGCACCAGGUGUACCAGAAGACCGGGGUUAUGAGAGGCAGAGACUCCGGAGCAAAUCUCGCAGUCCAGCGAAGGAAAGCAGGGGCAGGAGCAAGAGCCGAGCAAAGAGCCAGGUAAGAAGCAAGAGCCGGGCAAGAAGCAAGAGCUGUCCGCGCAGCAGAAGUCGUACCCGAGGGAAAAGCCGACCACGAAGCAGGAGUCGCAGUCGUGGAAAGAGCCAGGUCAGAAGCAAGAGCAAGGCUCGUAGUAGGAGCCGGAGCCGAGGGAAAAGUCGGGCAAGGAGCAAAAGCAGAUCAAGGAGUAGGAGUCGCAGCUAUGGAAAGAGCCGGGGCAGGUUGGACCAUCAUUCAGACCACAGGGACAAAAGGAGCCCCAUUCGGAGGAGUAGCAGCAGGAUCAGUAAUCACUCCUCCGCACACAAUGACCUGCUCGAGGGCCUGAAACGGGUUAUGAACAGCAAGCAACUGGAGGACAGUAUGCCUUCCAUCAAGAAUGCCAUUCUCACAAUACAGGCCAAUAACUUUAGCAGAGAUAUCCAGAGCAACUGUCUUCCAUGUGGACCAGUCUUGGCCAGCAGACAGGAAUUUCUUCAAGCCUCAGAUGGGCCUAAGCCAGUCAGCAGACAGGACGAGACCGACAGCAAUCUUCUCCCCCACGAGAGAGUGGGCUGUGACUUCUCCUGGCUGCAGGGCACCAGGGAGGUCUCACCUGUUCAAAAGCCGGAGGAGGUCGAGGAUGAGGAGAACUUCCUCUAUGGGAAUGAGGAUAACCAGUCAAAACAACGCCCUGCCACCCUGCCUUUUGCACAGUCCACAUCCAUUACCCAGCAGAGCGAUGCAGAGAUCUCCCCAGCAGGCCCACCCUACUAUCAAAGCCAGCCUCUGUUCGGGAACCAUGGUGAAGUCCAGGAGUUCAAGAUGCCUCCUCAACCGGUCCAGUCUAGUGUGAGGCUUGAGCAGAGGGUGCAGCCUGUUCCUGCUCCUGAUGUGAAGCCCACCCCCACUGUGAAGGAAUGUGAGGAGUUCAAGGCCAUGUUGAAGAACAUUGGGCUGAAUCUGGGCACGUCAGAGAUCAGUAAGAUGAUGGUCAAGCUGCAGCAACAGAAGGAGGGGAAGAUGCCAGAGCAGAAGAGGGAGGAGAAAGUGCCAUCACCAGCACCAGUGCUGCCUCUUCCUCUUGUAGUUGGGGCAUCACAGGAGCCCAGACUGGCCUCGCCAACACUCGGGGCAGCACUUGGGACAGCACCAAUACGACAAGCAUUGGAGUCAUUACAGUUCAUUAUUAAAGCAACAAGGGAGAAAAGGGCCAAUAGUGAUCCACAUGAUGGCAACCAUUCCCAGAGGAAUUCAGACAAACAGAAGAGCAAAGAUGACGAGGAGAGUCAGAGGAGAUCGAGACAUGACCAAAUGAAAAGGAAAGAAACUCUUGUGAAGGAACUGGAGGAAUUGCUAAAGCAGGAUGGGUCCACCUUUUUGAUUCCGGUCAUCGGGUUCUACUGUCAGAGGUGUGAGGAGUUCUUCGGAGACCUGACCACUGCUGAGGGCCAUGCUGCAACCCACCGGCGGAAUGAGCCUAGCAUGGCGAGUACCUAGCUACAUUCUCUCGCCCCACACAGUAACCCAACUGUAUACACUGCGUUGACCAAAGAAACAGCGUAGUUACCAUUGCAUUGUUCAACCUAGAUCACCCCUCAGUAUAAACUUUAGGUUUCUUUCCAGUCCACUUGUCUUCAGCAUCAAUAGAAAAGUCAAAUUCCCCAAAAGAUUAGUGGUAUUAUCAUCCCAAACUGUAUCAUUAGAAUUCUUAGCUACUUAUUUCACCUUGUCUAUAGCAGCAGCAUGGAGACAGACGACCUGGAGAGGACAGAAGACACCCUAGCCAUUACAUCGGGCACCCCCUGGCUCCAGAGCGGAGGGACCAGAGAGACCCAAGAGAUCAGAGGUAUCGCAAACUAGACGAGGGCCCAAAGGCUUACAGGAACGACAGGGAGAAGAUCUACGUGAAAGAGGAACGACCUGGAAGCCCCAGGAUAAAGAUGACGGUGGUCCGCGGGCACACCCCACCAGGUCUGCAGAAGGCCAGGGGGAGAGAGGAGGGGAGGGUGGAUAAGGGCUCUUGUGCUGCUUCCUCUGGCCCUGCCAGUGGGAAAUAUGAUAGGGUCAAACUGGAGGAGGUGGAGACCAAAGGAAAGCCCAACAUGGAAGUAUGUGACAAAGAUAAAGGAGAAAGCAGUUCUAGCAGUGAUGACGAGAAAGACAAAUCUCCUAAAGGCAACAAAAAGAAAAAGGAGAAGAAGAAGAAGGAAAAGAAGAAGAAGAAGAAAAAGGAAAAGGGUUAGAAGUAAUAGCUGCUGUACUGCAUGUCCUGGUUUGAUUGUACUGUAUCUCUGGAGGACCUGGCCUUGGGUCAUUGUUUGGCAUCAUUGCAGCUGUUUUCAGAAGUUGGUGGUUUUAACGUUAGAAAGAAGCAGUGUUCCUCUGAUUUGUUCUCUCCUUAUGGGGUAGUCUUUUUUCCCAACAAACUGUGUUCCUCUGUGUUGUAGUGGAUAACAGGACAUUUUCAUUGAAUGCUGUUGGAGGACAGGACGUUCCAGGGUGCAUAUGCAGCAUUUAUGAUGUCCAGAAUCAUUUUGCUGCCAGCUACUGAUCCUAUUGUUCAGACCUUUAGUUACUGUAGAUGUGCAUUAAAUAACCCUCCUUAUAUUGGGCCAUGUUUGUGUAUAUUUCACCCGGUACAACCUUGAUUUAGUGCUUCAAGUACUAUCAAAUGUACUUUUGCCAUUUAAAGGUCAACUGCCAUUUGAAGCGUGUGCCGUCUUUCUUCCUAAUGUUAAACCGUUGAGAUGGAAUUAUUCUGUAAUGAAGAAAUUCUUAUACAUUGUCCUCUUAUUUAGGUCUCAGCAAUUGAUGGCGCAAGGCUAUUUGCAAGCGCACAUGAUCUUGCCAAAGUCAUUGAAUCCUAUCAGGAUAGGAACAGUUGACAUGUUUUUGAAAGGUGAUCACUUUUUUUUUGUCUGCUGUUGCUCACUCUCACUUCCUCUUUCUCACACACUAGGCAUUUCCAUUGAUCCAGGUUUAUUGGACAAAAGCAAUGUCAGGGGAAAAAUAUAUUCUGCCGUGUAAUAGAAACGGCAGAUAUAGGAGACAUUUUAAAGCUCCACAACAUUUUUAUCCGUUCGAUAGGGUUCUAUUUUUCUUUUGUUGAACUUUCUUUACUGCAACUAAUGAGGGAAACUGUUUUCGAAUAAAUGUUGAUUGUAAAAUACUUUUGAAGGUACGCUGGGCAUGUGAUGUCAUCACAUAGCUAUAGUCUCCACUCCCAAAUGCCUACUGCUUGCAAAAUAAGUUUUCUAUUAAGCUAACAUAUGGAAUUGUUUUAAGAUGGUCAUACCAUGGAUCAUUUAGCUAUUUGAAUUUGAAUUUUAUGACCCCUUCAGGUAAUCAAAAAUAUUUAGUGAUUUGAUCAAAUAUUUCAUUUCACCUCUAUUACUAUAGCCCAUAGAAACACAUUGAAUAACACAAUAAAUGUCAUAAGACAGUGAAAAAAAUCACAGGGAAUAAGGUUUUAAAGUGUCUGUCCUAGAUAUACGAAAGCUCAGGAUAUAGUUUAGUUUAGAAAGUAUUCAUACCCCUUGAUUUAUUCCACAUUUUGUUGUGCCUGAAUUAAACAAAACUAAAAAUAAUUCUCACCCAUCUACACACAAUACCCCAUAAUGACAAAGUGAAAACAUGUUUUUAGAAAUGUGCAAAUUUAUUGAAAAUUAAAUAUAGAAAUGUCUCAUUUACAUACACUACCGUUCAAAAGUUUGGGGUCACUUAGAAAUGUCCUUGUUUUUGAAAGAAAAGCAAAAAAAUUGUCCAUUAAAAUAACAUCAAAUUGAUCAGAAAUACAAUGUAGAAAUUGUUCAUGUUGUAAAUGACUAUUGUAGCUGGAAACGGCAGAUUUUAUAUGAAAUAUCUACAUAGGCGUACAGAGGCCUUUAUCAGCAGCCAUCACUCCUGUGUUCAAAUGGCACGACUCCGGGAUGCUGGCCUUCUAGGCAGAGUUCCUCUGUCCAUUGUCUGUUAUUUUGCCCAUCUUAAUCUUUUCUUUUUAUUUGCCAGUGUGAGAUAUGUAUUUUUCCAUGCAUUUCUGCCUAGAAAGCCAGUAUCCCCGAGUCGCCUCUUCACUGUUGACAUUGAGACUGGUGUUUUGCGGGUGCUAUUUAAUGAAGCUGCCAGUUGAGGACUUGUGAGAUGUCUGUUUCUCAAACUAGACACUAAUGUACUUGUCCUCUUGCUCAGUUGUGCACCGGGGCCUCCCACUCCUCUUUCUAUUCUGGUUAGAGCCAGUUUGUGCUGUUCUGUGAAGGGAGUAGUACACAGCGUUGUACGAGAUCUUCAGUUUCUUGGCAAUUUCUCGCAUGGAAUAGCCUUCAUUUCUCAGAACAAGAAUAGACUGACGAAUUUCAGAAGAAAAUACUUUGUUUCUGGCCAUUUUGAGCCUGUAAUCAAACCCACAAGUACUGAUGCUCCAGAUACUCAACUAGUCUAAAGAAGGCCAGUUUUAUUGCUUCUUUAAUCAGAACAACUGUUUUCAGCUGUGCUAACAUAAUUGCAAAAGGGUUUUCUAAUGAUCAAUUAGCCUUUUAAAGUCAUAAACUUGGAUUAGCUAACACAAUGGGCCGUUGGAACACAGGAGUGAUGGUUGCUGAUAAUGGGCCUCUGUACGCCUAUGUAGAUAUUCCAUAAAAAAUCUGCUGUUUCCAGCUACAAUAGUCAUUUACAACAUUAACAAUGUCUACACUGUAUUUCUGAUCAAUUUGAUGUUAUUUUAAUGGACAAAAAAUUAGCUUUUCUUUCAAAAACAAGGACAUUUCUAAGUGACCCUAAACGUUUGAACGGUGGUGCAAGGAUUCACACCGGAGUCAAUACAUGUUAGAUUCACCUUUGGCAGCGAUUACAGAUGUGAGUCUUUUGGGGUAAGUUUCUAAAGCCUUGUUCACAUUAACAGUUUGAAGUGACUUAAAUCAUAUUUAUUUGCAUUUCUGAUUCAAAUCUGUUCUUUUUCCUGUAGUCUGAACAGCCAAAAGGCACAUGGAUUUGGAUAUUUCAAGCCACACAAGGGUAGUUUUAAGUCGGAUACAAAUCUGAUUCCUGGCCAUGUGACUUGUCUGAAUCGUCAAAUCUGAUUUAUUUGUGGUUUUUAGACUGCUAUUCAGCAUAUCUUGUUGCUUGUUUGCUACUCUGUUGACAGUUUGACAAGAACAUGUGGUAGCUAACUAGCUUGAUAAUUGUUUACAAACAAAUUAGUGAAUGUGCUACAGAGCUAAACAGCUAGCUAGCUAAUUGACUACUGUGGCUAACCAAAAAGGACUUGUUUUGAAAGUUGGAUCAUCUUAUCCUUUGAGGCUUUAAAAAUGUUCUUACCCUAUGACUUUGAAGAUUCAAAGCAACUGGGAAACGUCCAUGGCAGGCAUUGUUGUCAUGUUAACUUGCUGCAUAACUUGAGUGACAGGAAGCAAAAGCACCACCACCAAUCAGCCUACACCACUGCACACACGUCGUUACUAUGAUCACUAGCGUAGCCUUGUUUUUAUUAAAAAUAUAUAUUUCUAUUUAACCUUUAUU